UGGGUCAAGGCCAGUUGGUUGGGGUAUUUAGCUGUUAACUAAAUUUUUGUGGGUUCGAGUCCCAUUGACCUAG
ensembl:Mt_tRNA